rnacentral:rRNA from 1 species
AUUGAACGCUAGCGGGAUGCUUUACACAUGCAAGUCGAACGGAGUGGCGGACGGGUGAGUAAUAUAUCUGAACGUGCCCAGUAGGGGGGGAUAACUACUCGAAAGAGUGCCUAUUACCCCAUACUCUUGACGCUGCCGAUAUCGGAUUAGGUAGUUGGUGGGGUAAAGGCUCACCAAGGCACCGAUCCGUAGCUGGUUUGCGAGGACGACCAGCCACACUGGGACGUAGACAAGGCCCAGACUCCUACGGGAGGCAGCAGUGGGGAAUUUUGGACAAUGGGGGAAACCCUGAUCCAGCAAUCCCGCGUGUAUGAUGAAGGCCUUCGGGUUGUAAAGUACUUUUGGCAGAGAAGCGGUAUCUGCAGAAGAAGCACCGGCUAACUACGUGCCAACCGCCGCGGUAAUUC